CGCCGAUAAUGAUCGGGAAUAAGCGUGGAGCCGAAGCUGUGGGCCCAGCAGCAAUGCUGGGCGGUAGGAGAGCGUAGUUGAUGCUGUGAAGCGGCUCGGGAACGGGUCGUGGAGCGUCCACUAGUGCAUAUGCCGGCUUAAGUAACGAUUAACACGGUGAAAAUCCGUGUCGCCGAAUGCCUAAGGUUUCCUGGGGAAGGUAAAUCCGCCCAGGGUUAGCCGGGUCCUAAGGUGAGGCCGAAAGGCGUAGCCGAUGGAAAUCAGGUCAAUAUUCCUGAGCCAAUGCCCAAUAUGGUGACGGAUCUCCAAGAUCUGCGGGACUGCUAGAUGUCCAGGCCCUCGAGGCCGAUGCAGGUGGAGGAGGUCACGAGAAAAACCGGGCGUGCCCGUACUAAAACUGACACAGGUAGGCGAGGCGAAUAGCCUCAGGCGCUCGAGAGAACGGUCGUGAAGGAACUAGGCAAUUUAACCCCGUACGUUCGCAAGAAGGGGGCCCUCGUCGUCAGACAGGGCGCAGAGAAAAGGGUCUGGGAACUGUUUAUCAAAAACACAGCUCUGUGCUAACUCGGAAGAGGAUGUAUACAGAGUGACGCUUGCUCAAUGCCGGAAUGUCACGGAAGCGGGUCAUCGCAAGAGAAGCCCGCGACUCAAGCACCGGUGAAUAGCGGCCGUAACUAUGACGGUCCUAAGGUAGCGAAGUUCCUUGUCGGGUAAGUUCCGACGCGCAUGAAUAGCGUAAUCACUGGACUCCUGUCUCCACGACCGACUCGGUGAAAUAGUAGUGGCGGUGAAGAUGCCGUCUACCCGCAGCAAGACGGAAAGACCCCGUGGACCUUCACUAUAGGCAUGCGCUGGUCACGAGCACGAACUGCGUAGCAUAGGUGGGAGGCUUUGAAGUUCCCGUUUCGGCGGGAAUGGAGCCAACAAGUGAAAUACCACCCUGUUUAUGUUUGUGGCCUAACUUCGAUUCCCGUGAAUCCGGGCGAAGAACACCGUGUGUUGGGUAGUUUGACUGGGGCGGUCUCCUCCCAAAGAGUAACGGAGGAGUGCAAAGGUCGGCUCAGCACGGAUGGAAACCGUGCCCUGCGUGCAAGAGCACAAGCCGGCUUUACUGCGAGACCGACGGGUCGAGCAGUUACGAAAGUAGGCUCUAGUGAUCCUGCGAUCCCGUGUGGAAGGGUCGUAGCUCAACGGAUAAAAGGUACCCCGGGGAUAACAGGCUGAUCGCUCCCGAGCGUCCAUAGCGGCGGAGCGGUUUGGCACCUCGAUGUCGGCCCAUCACAUCCUGGGACUGAAGGCGGCCCCAAGGGUUCGGCUGUUCGCCGAUUAAAGUGGUACGCGAGCUGGGUUCAGACCGGCGUGAGCCAGGUCGGUCCCUAUCUGCUGUGGGCGUCGCAAGUUUGAGAGGAGUCAACCUUAGUACGAGAGGAUUGGGUUGGACGUACCCCUGGUGAUCCAGUUGGUCUGCUAAGGCCACAGCUGGGUAGCUACGUACGGCAGGGAUAAACGCUGAAAGCAUCUAAGCGUGAAGCCCCCCUCAAGAUGAGACAUGGUUGUCGUAAGACGAAAGACCCCUGGAAGACCACCAGGUUGAUAGGCCGCAGGUGUACGGGCUGAAAGGCCCUCAGCUGAGCGGUACUAACGGUCGAACGUUUGAUCA
rnacentral:rRNA from 1 species